CGGAGGAGAACGUAAGGAGAAGGCUAGGAUACAACAGAUUGAGGUUAUCCGACUCUGAAGUUCCAUCUCAGUAAGCAGCGAGGUAGCACUUACUGGCACGUCCUGAGCAUGUCUGCUUCUCCCACCCCCCCUCAAAUCCUCCGCAAGUGACAGUCGGAUCCAGUCCAGGAACCAAUAUCUCACAGCAGUCCGCAUCUCAGCCUUGCUCCUGGAAGCAAGAAGGAGGGCUGCGCAAAAUGCCUUGGCUCCU